GAUGAACGCUGGCGGCGUGCCUAAUACAUGCAAGUCGAGCGAACAGACGAUGAGCUUGUUCCUUUGUCGUUAGCGGCGGGCGGGUGUGAAACAUGUGGAUACUCCCCUUAUAAUACUGGUAUCAUUUCGGGAAACCGGCGCUUAUACCGGAUAAUAUAUUGAACCGCAUGGUUGAAUAGUGAAAGACGGCGUUUCUGUCACUAAUCGAUGGAUCUGCGCCGGUUUAGCUAGUUGGUACGGUAACGGCCUACCACGGCGACGAUGCGUAGGCGACCUGAGAGGGUGGUCGGCCACACGGGAACUGGAACGCGGUCCAUGCGCCUACGAGAGGCAGCAGUAGGGUAUCUUCCGCAGUGGUCGAAAGCAUGGCGGAGCAGCGCCGCGCGAGUGAUGAAGGUCUUCGGAUCGUAAAACUCUGUUAUUAGGGAAGAACAAAUGUGUAAGUAACUAUGCACGUCUUGACGGUACCUAAUCAGAAAGCCACGGCUAACUACGUG
rnacentral:rRNA from 1 species